AACGAACGCUGGCGGCAUGCCUAACACAUGCAAGUCGAACGAGACCUUCGGGUCUAGUGGCGCACGGGUGCGUAACGCGUGGGAACCUGCCCUUAGGUUCGGAAUAACUCCCCGAAAGGGGUGCUAAUACCGGAUAAUGUCUCCGGACCAAAGAUUUAUCGCCCUUGGAUGGGCCCGCGUUGGAUUAGCUAGUUGGUAGGGUAAAAGCCUACCAAGGCGACGAUCCAUAGCUGGUCUGAGAGGAUGAUCAGCCACACUGGGACUGAGACACGGCCCAGACUCCUACGGGAGGCAGCAGUGGGGAAUAUUGGACAAUGGGCGAAAGCCUGAUCCAGCAAUGCCGCGUGAGUGAUGAAGGCCUUAGGGUUGUAAAGCUCUUUUACCCGGGAUGAUAAUGACAGUACCGGGAGAAUAAGCUCCGGCUAACUCCGUG
rnacentral:rRNA from 1 species